rnacentral:rRNA from 1 species
UACGUAGGUGGCAAGCGUUGUCCGGAAUUAUUGGGCGUAAAGCGCGCGCAGGCGGCCUUUUAAGUCUGAUGUGAAAGCCCACGGCUCAACCGUGGAAGGUCAUUGGAAACUGAAAGGCUUGAGUACAGAAGAGGAAAGCGGAAUUCCACGUGUAGCGGUGAAAUGCGUAGAGAUGUGGAGGAACACCAGUGGCGAAGGCGGUUACCUGGGGCUUUGCUGACGCUGAUGCGCGAAAGCGUGGGGAGCGAUCCGG